rnacentral:rRNA from 1 species
GAUGAACGCUGGCGGCGUGCUUAACACAUGCAAGUCGAACGGGAAUUAUUUUAUUGCAACUUCGGUCGAUUUCAUUUAAUUCUAGUGGCGGACGGGUGAGUAACGCGUGGGUAACCUGCCUUAUACAGGGGGAUAACAGUCAGAAAUGGCUGCUAAUACCGCAUAAGCGCACAGAGCUGCAUGGCUCAGUGUGAAAAACUCCGGUGGUAUAAGAUGGACCCGCGUUGGAUUAGCUUGUUGGCAGGGUAACGGCCUACCAAGGCGACGAUCCAUAGCCGGCCUGGGAGGGUGAACGGCCACAUUGGGACUGAGACACGGCCCAGACUCCUACGGGAGGCAGCAGUGGGGAAUAUUGCACAAUGGGGGAAACCCUGAUGCAGCGACGCCGCGUGAAGGAAGAAGUAUCUCAGUAUGUAAACUUCUAUCAGCAGGGAAGAUAGUGACGGUACCUGACGAAGAAGCCCCGGCUAACUACGUG